AUUAUCAAGAACAGGCUGUGUGAUAUGAUUACAACUAUGAACACGUAGAUCGUGCACGUAUUAUCAUGCGCACAUUCACAAAUACUGUGUUGCGGUCUUCAGUUUCGUAAUAUGCACGAACAUUUACAAAGAGCGUAAUCUGUCGCUACUAUAACUGUAUUACUACACCCAUUCCCUCCCAUCCCUAAUGCUUUGAAGUGAGCCCCACAUUCAUUGCAUUCAUGUCUUGGCCUCUGAGUAUGAGCAGCACAGCAGCAGAACGGAUGGGGGAGGGGAGGCAGAAACAAACUCCGUACACACAGCCAGGCCCUUCCGCAGCCGACCGACUAGUACACAACUUUGCAACACUAUUUGCCUACUAAACUGACCUGAGCCCUAGGACCAUGCCCCAGGACUACCUGACAUGAUGACUCCUUGCUGUCCCCAGUCCACCUGGCCAUGCUGCUGCUCCAGUUUCAACUGGCCUGGGCCCUAGGACCAUGUCCCAGGACUACCUGACAUGAUGACUCCUUGCUGUCCCCAGUCCACCUGGCCAUGCUGCUGCUCCAGUUUCAACUGUUCUGCCUACUAUUAUUCAACCAUGCUGGUCAUUUAUGAACAUUUGAACAUCUUGGCCACGUUCUGUUAUAAUCUCCACCCGGCACAGCCAGAAGAGGACUGGCCACCCCACAUAUGCUCUCUCUAAUUCUCUCUUUCUUUCUCUCUCUCGGAGGACCUGAGCCCUAGGACCGUGCCCCAGGACUACCUGACAUGAUGGCUCCUUGCUGUCCCCAGUCCACCUGACUGUGCUGCUGCUCCAGUUUCAACUGUUCUGCCUUAUUAUUAUUCGACCAUGCUGGUCAUUUAUGAACAUUUGAACAUCUUGGUCAUGUUCUGUUAUAAUCUCUACCCGGUACAGCCAGAAGAGGACUGGCCACCCCACAUAGCCCGGUUCCUCUCUAGGUUUCUUCCUAGGUUUUGGCCUUUCUAGGGAGUUUUUCCUAGCCACCGUGCUUUUACACCUGCAUUGUUUGCUGUUUGGGGUUUUAGGCUGGGUUUCUGUACAGCACUUUGAGAUAUCAGCUGAUGUACGAAGGGCUAUAUAAAUAAAUUUGAUUUGAUUUGAUUUGAUUUCAAGGUCCUGAAGUGGCCUAGCCAGUCUCCAGAUCUCAACCCCAUAGAACAUCUUUGGAGGGAGUUGAAAGUCUGUGUUGCCCAGCAACAGCCCCAAAACAUCACUGCUCUAGAGGAGAUCUGCAUGGAGGAUUGGGCCAAAAUACCAGCAACAGUGUGUGAAAACCUUGUGAAGACUUCCAAAAACGUUUGACCUCUGUCAUUGCCAACAAAGGGUAUAUAACAAAUUAUUGAGAUAAACUUUUGUUAUUGACCAAAUACUUAUUUUCCACCACAAUCUGCAAAUAAAUAAAUAAAAAAUCCUAUAACGUGGUUUUCUGGAGAGAAAACAAUCUAAUUUUGUCUGUCAUAGUUGAAGUGUACCUAGGCCUGUAAUUUUCAUCAUAUCUCAUCUUUUUAAGUGGGAGAACUUGCACAAUUGGUGGCUGACUAAAUACUUUUUUGCCCCACUGUAUUUCAAGCCUACCUUAAAACUCACUACCUCUUUGUUUGGCAUCAUGGGAAAAUCAAAAGAAAUCAGCCACAAAAAAUUGUAGACCUCCACAAGUCUGGUUCAUCCUUUGCAGCAAUUUCCAAAUGCCUAAAGGUACCACGUUCAUCUGUGCAAACAAUAGUACGCAAGUAUAAACACCAUGAGACCACACAGCUGUCAUACCACUCAGGAAGGAGACACGUUCUGUCUCCUAGAGAUGUAUGUACUUUGGUGUGAAAAGUGCAAAUCAAUCCCAGAACAACAGCAAAGGACCUUGUGAAGAUGCUGGAGGAAACAGGUACAAAAGUAUCUAUAGCCACAGUAAAACAAGUCCUAUAUUGACAUAACCUGAAAGGCCGCUCAGCAUGGAAGAAGCCACUGCUCAAAAACCUCCAUAAAAAAGCCAGACUACGGUUUGCAUCUGCACAUGAGGACAAAGAUCAUACUUUUAGGAGAAAUGUCCUCUGGUCUGAUGAAACAAAAAUAGAACUGUUUGGCCAUAAUGACAUCCUUGUUUGGAGGAAAAAGGGGGAGGCUUGCAGGCCAAAGAACACCAUCCCAACCAUGAAGCACAGGGGAGGCAGCAUCAUGUUGUGAGGGUGCUUUGCUGCAGGAGGGACUGGUGCACUUCACAAAAUAGAUGGCAUCGUGAGGGAGGAAAAUUGUGUGGAUAUAUUGAAGCAACAUCUCAAGACAUCAGUCAGGAAGUUAAAGCUUGGUCGCAAAUGGGUCUUCCAAAUGGACAAGCAUACUUGCAAAAUGGCUUAAUGACAACAAAGUCAAGGUAUUGAAGUGGCCAUAACAAAGCCCUGACCUCAAUCCUAUAGAAAAUGUGUGGGCAGAACUGAAAAAGUGUGUGCGAGCAAGGAGGCCUACAAACCUGACUCAGUCACAACAGCUCUGUCAGGAGGAAUGGGCCAAAAUUCACCCAACUUAUUGUGGGAAGCUUGUGGAAGGCUACCCGAAACGUUUGACCCAAGUUAAACAAUUUAAAGGCAAUGGUACCAAAUACCAAUUGAGUGUAUGUAAACUUCUGACCAACUGGGAAUGUGAUGAAAGAAAUAAAAGCUGAACUAAAUCAUUCUCUAUUAUUAUGCUGACAUUUCACAUUCUUAAAAUAAAGUGCUGAUCCUAACUGACCUAAGACAGGGAGUUUUUACCCUGAUUAAAUGUCAGGAACUGUGAAACUGAGUUUACAUGUAUUUGGCUAAGGUGUAUGUAAAUUUCUGACUUCAACUGUAAUUUCUAUUCAAUUAAUGACACAUUUGUCAACCAAAAAUAAUUAUUUUGAAAAAAAAAAUCUCAUUGGUCUGAAUUUUUGUGUGCACUUACAAAAAACAAAACAAAACAUGUGUUUUGAUCUUGCUCAGGCUAUUUGCUGGUAUUUCACAAGUUAUCUUUUCUUGUUCAUAAACUCUUUCACCUCCAAUGGCAAAAAAUGUAACAACAGUUAGGUGUGUGUCAUGUACUGUAAAUGAUCCACUUUAUAUGAUUGGCCUGGAGCCAUCUUCUUCUGAGGAUUCAGUGACCUCAUCCUUUCUUCUUUGACUCUUCUUAUCAGGUCAAUACAUUUUUUGAUUGUUUUUUAAAGUAAGAUGGACAAAUACGAAAGACUGAGAAAUAAAUCGUAUGAAGGGUCAA